rnacentral:snRNA from 1 species
AUUGCUUCUUUGUUUUUUUGCUAAGAUCAUGUGUAGUAUCUGUUCUUAUCAGUUUAAUAUCUGAUACAUCCUCAAUGAGAUGACUUUAUACUAAAUGGAUUUUUGGGUCUGGGCGUUGGACCUGGUGCUUACUCCCUCUGUUCUACACAUUGUAGAGUGCCUCCAGGAAUGGAACGGAG